GCCCAACACGGGGCUCGAACUCACAAACUGCAAGAUCUUGACCUGAGCUGAAGUCAGACACUUAACCGACCCAGCCACCCAGGCGCCCCCUAACCACCAUAUUUAGUAUGCAACCUGUCCAACCUCCCCCCAGGACUGCCACUCUCCCCUUUUCUCUAGUUUUUACAUGGUAUUUAAUCCGUAACGUAAUAAAGCCUACUUAUUCAUUAAUUAUAUUAUUUAUUGUCUUUAUGCCCCCACUAAAAUGUGAAACCCAUGAGGACAGAGAUCUUUGUCUAUUUUGUUCACUAUUAUAUCUCAAGUGCAUAAAACAAUGUCUGGCAGACAGUAGUUACUUAAUAAAUAUGCAUUGAAUGAAUGAAUGAGUGAAUGAAUGAAUGAGUACCUGAAAUGGUUUAGGAGUACUAAAAUUCACUGCAUCAAAAUAUUUCCCACUGUCCCCUGCCUGGUAGCUGAAAUCCCACCAUUCCAUCUUCAUUCCUUUGGCCAAGGGUUUUGGCCCCAGUUGAAAAUGCAAAUGCCCCCUGGGAGAGGCAUUACACAUUAUCAGUCAUCCUCAUUCUCCUGUGAACAGUCUAGAUUAUUCAGUGCCUACCUUUAGAAAAGCAGCCUAGAUUUAGAAACAGUCUAGAUUUUGUUGGUUACAAAAGAAAUCUGACUUCUUCACCUUUCUGGUGUUUUCAUACUCAAUUUUCAACCUAACAGAAAAAAUUAGAAAUGACACAAAUCUAAAUAUCUCUUCCACUUAGUUUCAGGAUGCACAAAGAAAAAUGAACACACAAAGAAAAAUGAACACAGUUCUCUUCCUUAAGGCCUUCCUUAUAGGCCUAUGUCAGAGUGAUAAGUGAUCACACCAUUGAGUGAUCUGCACUGUGUAAGUGUUUUACAGGCCUCACUCAUGUAAUCCUCAUUGCAGCACUAGGUGCAAUAGGUGAUGUGAUAUUGCUCUUCGGGUCCCCAUUUUAUAGAUGUGGAAACUGAGACUUAGAGACUUCAGUUACAUGUCCAAGGUCACCCAGCAGGUAAACUGUAGAGUCUGGAUUUAGCCUAGGAGUGUCUGACUCCAAACAUCUACUCUUGGAGAGGAUGUUUGAGAGUGAUCUGGGGUGGGUAGAAGGAUGAAGAGUUUAAAAUGAUAGUAAAAUGACCGCAAAAUGUGCUUCAGAGAAUUCAGAGCCUGAUAACAGAACAGAGUAUAUGUAUGUGGGGGGGGGGCGGGGGGCGUGAGGGGAGGGCACAUGCUGGAUUUAUAGCCAGGCUUUUCUAAAGGUAGGCACCGUAUAAAUCUAGCAAGUAAAUAUUACCUUCAUGCUUCUUUAGUUUCAUUUUUCACUUCUCUAUUCAGCUGUGAAAUGUGUUCUUUCCUUUUCCAGAAAAAAAGGUAUUUCCUAAAUAUUUGGUCUUGCAUUGUACACCUGUAUCCCUGGAACCUUUGGAACACAGCCCUUGGUGCUCUCUCUCGAGGUAACAAAUUCUGAACCUGACAAACGAAAACCACUCUGAAUUCUGAUUUGAGGAUCUGGGAGGUGAUGGGAGCAGAGGGCGAAGUCUUUCUAUCUCUUCCAUUGCCUGUCUGAUUCCCCAGCUGAAGGUGUGUUCUCCUCUCCCACGGUUCUUCAUUUGUGCCCUCUGUCUACAUGCUGGUAUGUUUGUACAUAGUAUUAUAUUUGUAUAUGAAUGUGCCUUUUCUCCACCCCCACUGCAUUUCAAAUGUCUUAAGGAAGAGAACUGUGUUCAUUUUUCUUUGUGUAUAGCAUAAUGUUUUGUACAUUAUGGACACUCAAUGAUUCACUCUGGAAGAGAUUCCCUAAUGUAACCACAAAUAUUUACUAUACUUAAUUUGUUAAUUAUGGUGUAUGUGUAAAAGUGAAAGCCUUGGUGAAAGGCUUGGGAACAAUCUAAAUAUUCAAUUUAGAAGGUUGAUUAAAUAAUAUCAGAAUAGAGGUAGGUUAUCUACAUAUAAAAAGUCAUUUGUUCUUCAGAACAGCCCUCUGAAGGAAGUACUAUUUCCCCAUUUUGCAGGUGAGGCAACUGAGGAUAGCUAACUCGCCUGCCCAUUUUCACAGCUAGCAAAUGUUGGAAGACCUUGGAAUUGAACCCCUGUAGUCUGUCUUCAGAGACUAUGCCAUUAACCACUUCAUAGAUAAACUAGGUACAUUCAUGCUGUGGAAUUCUUACGCAGAUGUAAACAAUGUUAAGGAAUAAUAUUAAUGACAUGGAAAAGGCUAUUCACACUAAAAGAAAAACAGGUUAUAAAAUAUCAUGUAUGCUAAGAUUCUAUUUUUCUUGAAUAUUUGAACUAGGUGUAUACUUGAACUAAGAAAAAGACUACAAAGUCUUCACACCAAAAUGUUGACAAGAGCUUUCUUUGGGAAGUAGGAUCACAGACUUCUGGCCCUGCUGAUCUAUAGCUACUUCAGACCCAUCACUGGAGUGCACUUCUCAAUUACUCUGUACCUGUACACACUGUGGGACUAGUUCCGACUAAUGAAAUAUGGUGCAGCUACAAGACUGAGAAGCAUCCAUCAGCCUAGAUCCUUGAGUGACUUUGUGCAGCAGAACCUCUCCCACAACCCCCCUCUGGAUAUAUAGAAUGAGCAAGAAAUAAGCAUUUAU